rnacentral:lncRNA from 1 species
GCUGCUUAGAGAAAGGUGCAUGUUCCUUCAAAUGCUUUACCUACACUUUGUGGUUUAGAUAUUUCCUCUUGUCUACUAUGCCUGCCAAACCUUUUGGUUAUUUUCAGACACAAGAUAAGCCUCAUUCUUCUCUGUAAUGUUAAAGAAGUCUUUUCCAAAUCAAACAUAAAACUCUUGCUAAAAUAUUGACUUCAGACCUAAGUAACUUUUGUGAAUAAAUACUAUAAAUUGGCACCUAGAAUGAUUACUUCAGACAGAGGAGGCCUUAGUGAUAUUGGAUUUAUAGACAAACUAACCUUCCAAAUGGACUUUCUUGAUUUCUCUCUCGAUAAUCUGUGGUUCUCCCUCAAUUACUUUAGUAACCUUGGUGUACUCAGUUCCAGCUCCCUGCAGAAGUCUUUUGAUUUCUUCAUCUUCAAGUAAAUGAGCAUCACCUUCAAUAAAUUUGGUCACCUUGGUAACCUCUUCCUCAAGCAAUCUCUUUAAAUUUUCUUCAUUGUCUGUACCACCUGCAGUAAUUCUGGUGUAUUUUAUUUCUGGACCUUGAAUAAUUCUUUCUUCUGUUACUUUUUUCUCUGUCACUUCCACAGGUCGCCCAUCAAUGAUUUUGGUGUACGUUUUAAUAAUUGGUUCUCCAUGAAUCACUUUAGUUAUUGUCUCCCCCUCCC